AAUUCCUGAAACAAAAGACAUUGUCCCAUCAAUAUCAUCAAAUUGACAAUUCGCAGCAGCGCUAUUCACGCUCAUGUAGUAUAUUAACACAAUAAAAUGAAAGAAAAUAGCUUUAUUUCAUUCCACAAUAAUUAGAUAGAAUUUAAUUCAUUUGGUAUUUAAUAAUGAUAUUACUAGAGGAAGCGGUAUACCUAGGAAGAAAUGGAUGGAUUGCGUGAAACACGAUAUGUGUAAGAGGGGAGUGAGCGAACUAAAUGGUAUAUGACAGAGGAGUAUAGAGGGAGAAAGCAUGUUGCGCCGACUCCAGGGGACUGGGAGAAGGGCAGGAGAAUGAAAUGAAUUAUAUUACUAAAUAGCAUCUGAAGUGAACACCCUCAGGGCAAAAGCCUCCUCCAAAGAAUUCCAUUUUUCCCUAAUCUUUAGCAGUGGUCAUCCAGUCUCUUCCUGCUUUGGAUACAAUCUCGUUCUGCCACCGGGCUAUUUCUUCCGCCAUGCGGUCCUUUGCAUUUUGUGGUGUUAAUUGUCCACGGAGUGUCACCGUAUCUCCCAGCCAUGGCCAGCCCAUUCCAUUUGUAACUUUGAGAGAAGAACCCUUCCCUUUUUUUACAAAUAUCAAAUGCAGCAGAUAUUGAAGGCAUAACCCCCCCUCCCUCUUCGUUUAUAGUCUUCGAUCAACAAUAGUAACUAGUUUCGGGUCAGUGCAUAAAAUCCGUCUCGUCAAAUAACAGCGCACUUGAAAUGUGAGCUCUUAUUUUGUUUAGUUCACUUCAAACACAGCCAAUGUCAACCCGUCUCACAAUACCGCAGUGUGUAUUCAAAAGUUGCAAAAAUAAGGCCCGAAAAAGCAAUUUAACGGCCGGAAUAUCUUACUUUCGCUUUCCUAGCAAUCACGUGUGCAGAAUGGAUCUCGAUUGUCGCCAGAGAAACAAGAGAUGACUUUUAUAAGCCAGCUAAGAUCUUCGCUUAUUGACACUGGACAUCUUUGCCUUCCGUGCUCACGGCUACUGAAACGUGGCCGAAACAUUGUAAUAAAAAUACCACGCUUGAAACCGUUUAAA